rnacentral:rRNA from 1 species
GAUGAACGCUAGCUACAGGCUUAACACAUGCAAGUCGAGGGGAAACGACAUCGAAAGCUUGCUUUUGAUGGGCGUCGACCGGCGCACGGGUGAGUAACGCGUAUCCAACCUGCCCACCACUUGGGGAUAACCUUGCGAAAGUAAGACUAAUACCCAAUGAUAUCUCUAGAAGACAUCUGAAGGAGAUUAAAGAUUUAUCGGUGAUGGAUGGGGAUGCGUCUGAUUAGCUUGUUGGCGGGGUAACGGCCCACCAAGGCAACGAUCAGUAGGGGUUCUGAGAGGAAGGUCCCCCACAGUGGAACUGAGACACGGUCCAAACUCCUACGGGAGGCAGCAGUGAGGAAUAUUGGUCAAUGGGCGAGAGCCUGAACCAGCCAAGUAGCGUGCAGGAUGACGGCCCUAUGGGUUGUAAACUGCUUUUAUAAGGGAAUAAAGUGAGUCUCGUGAGACUUUUUGCAUGUACCUUAUGAAUAAGGACCGGCUAAUUCCGUGCCAGCAGCCGCGGUAAAAGGG